CAGUUAACAGGAUAAACUUCUAGGUAUUUACUCCAAAAAUCCUGCAGCUUUGAUAACCUGGAACAUCUGACAUACACUUGGCAGAAGAAAUCUUCCAUGUCAGUGAAACUCCAAAUAUCAGUGGAAUGGACAUAGAGCUCAUGGUAGAAGCCUCUUAUUUGUGGAUAAGGAAACCAGACUAUUGAGAAGAAGUAACUUGACCAUUGGAGAUGACCAUAACUGAAGAAAGGUGCUGGGAAUCUGGCUGGAGAGCAACAACCAUACAAAACCUCACGAUUUACAACCUCAGCGCUACCUUAGGGUUGAAAUGAGAAAUAGACUGCAUACUUCCAGGCCAAUGGGGAUGUUUUCGACAAUUUCCUCUUCUCAGUGAGUUCCCUAAGAGCUCAGUAUACUUCACUAUUAUGACAUUUACUGGGCUAUUAUUCUUGCCAGAAAGAAAACUGCAUUGUCCAGUUUUCCUUUACAUUGAAUGAUAAGGACUAGAACCUCAGGGAAUUGACAGACUUAAAAAUGUUCAUCUUUAAUUGAUAAUUUAUGGGAUUCUGUGUUCCCAAAUGGGCCCCAAUUUUUUUUUAUUCUGGUAUCAUUGAUAUAUGCUCUUAUGAAGGUUUCACAUGAAAAACAUU